UGGAAACAAAGGUAUUCGUGGAAGGUUGAAAAAAGUUGGUGUGUGAUGGUGUUUCAUUACACAAAUGUUGGAAUUUUUUUUGAGUACAAAAAUGUCUGAGGGAAACAUUCGUGCACGUUAACCAGUACCUUUUUCCCAUUCUGUAACUUGGUUUAUACGUUCGUGUACAUGUCGUCGUUGUACAUUUUCCUCUCCUCCUUCGUUUCGGUACAUUUAACUGAAGGCCUCUAUAAACCGCAGUGACUUCUCGUGUAGAUGUCGUCGUUGUACAUUUUCCUCUCCUCCUUCGUUUCGGUACAUUUAACUGAUGGCCUCUAUAAACCGCAGUACCUUCAUAGGAUUUUAUGAUACUUCGAGUACAGGUUCUGCUGUCUACUGUUCGAGUCCGAGAGUCCGAGAGUCGUUUCCCUGUGUACUUAUGACCGUGGAUGUUUGUUUCAACGGGGGAGGUCGGUAAGUUGGUAUAGCCCUACCCCUUAUGCGUCGAACAAGAACUAGUGUUGUAGUACUAUCGUUUUCGGUCUUUGUGAUAAAACUAAACGUGACCACGGGGAUACUAUAUGAUGAUCAAGGAUAUAUAGAAAGGACCCAGCCACUUGAACUCGACGACUGACGACCACGCGACUAGAAGCACAAGGAGUCCUGAAAACUCUACACUCGCUUCCCGUCCGGAGUAGCCUCUUCUUUUUGUUGUGCGCAGUACGUUUUGUUGUACACUUCUAAAUAAUUCAUACCACACAGUUUUUGGUUAGAGAUCAGCCUAUUAGCAUUAUUGUGCGUUUAAUCACAGAUGUUUAUUACAGUGAGAAGGAUACUACUGUAUUAAUUAUCUUGACUUGUAUAAAUUUUAUUCUGAGAGGUCAUUAAGAGAUAUAUUCUUAUAAAAUCUCGCUCUUGUAACAGGCGUACUUUUUACUUCAUCGCUCUCGAUGAAACUUCUUUAGACCUCCACAUGGUAAUCGGUAGUAAUGAUAUCGAUCAUAAACCCAAUCAUUAUUAGUUUAUCUCGUUUGUUACUAACCAACACGAACGAGUUACGAUACCCAACACCCCAAUGUUAUCCACGAUCAAACUUUCUUUUUUUUUCUAUAAUAACGAGUCGAUAAUACUAGACGGAAGAGUAGAUUUCCGAACAAAUAAUAGAUUUGUAUAAAGGGUUAUCAGGUUACCGAGUACUUCACCUUCUUAAUAAUAUCAACAUACCACGCCACCCCACUCUGUACAAAUCAGCAGGCGACGCCGACGGGAUAGCUGUACACCGCUAGUGAACAAAUACUAGAGAGAGUUUGAAGGUCUUUAUACGAAUAUACAUUAUUUGAUCAGAAGUCUACUCUUCGUUUAGUAUUGUUAACCUCGUUGCUAUAGGGAAAAUAAAAGAAGUUUUAUCGUAGAAGACAUUGGAGUACUCCGUAUUUUAACUCGUUUGUUUUGAUUAUUAAAAAAACUAGGUAAACCAUAUAAUGAUUGGUUUUAUCAUCGAUAUCAUUAUUACCAAUACCAUGCGACGGUGUAAAGAAGCUUUAUCGAGAGCUAUAAAAGAGGUUAAGUGUACUUGUAUACAAGAGCAGCACUAUAUAAAAGAUAUCUUUUAGUAAACUCAGAAUAAACUUUCUCCAAAGAGUACUUGAUACAUAGUGUCUUUUUCACUAUACGAAGUUUCUAUGAUUAAAACGUAGAACAAUACUACUAUAGGUUGAUGUUGAUUUUGCAUAUGUUUGUUGUGAAUUAGAAGUGGAAAAGAGAUGGGUCUACACUAGUUAUUAGUAUUCCAUAAAUGUUUUUUUUAUAUUUAUAAUUAACCGUGUAGUUAAAUAAAUCUGUGUUUUUGAUUUUACUUGAUAUCCUUAAAUCUUUAGCGUUACUUCUAUUACUUAAUAGUUGUAACACGAUCGAUCCUUCUCAUUUUUCCGUCGAUUUAACCUAAUUUUUUUUAACCGUAUUAUCUUCAUAGUGCCUGAUUCUCUACUUCUUUUUUUAAGUCUCGGUAAACUAAGAGAAAAUUUAUCUUAUUUUCUGCUCAUGAUACACGUGCACGGAAAACAGGUAAUCUUUGAGUGGUUCAACCAAUUACUCAUACCACACUGUUUCUGGUUAGAGAUGUCAGUUUAUUAGUAUUGUUGUACGUUUAGUCACAGAUGCUUAUUACAGUGAGAAGGGUACUACUUAUCCACAGGCGUACUUUUUACCUCAUUCAUCGCUCUUGAAAAAACUUCUUUACACCUCCACAUAGUAAUCGGUAGUAAUGAUACCGAUCAUAAAACCAAUCAUUAUUGGUUUAUCUCGUUUAUUACUAACCAACACAAACGAGUUACGAUACCCGACACCCCAAUGUUUUCUACGAUCAAACAUUCUUUUGUUUUACUUUUAUUAUAAUGACGAGUCGAUAAUACUAGACGGAAGAGUAGACUUCUGAACAAAUAAUAUAGAUUUGUAUAAAGAGUCGCCGGGUUACCGAGAACUUCACCUUCUUAAUAAUAUCAACAUAGUUACUACAAGAGAAGACGUGCCCUAGACGAACACUAGAGAGAGAGUUUGAAGGUUCUUAUCGAAUAUACAUAUUUGAUCAGAAGUCUACUCUUCGUCUAGUAUUGUUAAUUCGUUGUUAUAGUGAAAGUAAAGCGAGUCGAUAAUACUAGAUGGAAGAGUAGAUUUCUGAACAAAUCGCCGGGUUACCGAGAACUUCACCUUCUUAAUAACAUCAACAUCGUUACUACAAGGGAAGACGUGCCCUAGACGAACACUAGAGAGAGAGUUUGAAAGUUUUUAUACGAAUAUACAUUAUUUGAUCAGAAGUCUACUCUUCGUCUAGUAUUGUUAACUCGCUGUUAUAGGGAAAGUAAAGGAAGUUUAUAUCGUAGAAAACAAUGGAGUACUGUGUAUUUUAACUCUUUUGUCUUAGUUAUUAAAAAACGAGGUAAGCCAUAUAAUGAUUGGUUUUAUCAUCAACAUCGUUAUUACCGAUACCAUGUGGUGGUGUCAAGAACUUUUAUCGAGAGCUAUAAAAGAGGUUAAGUGCUUUGUAUACAAGAGCGAUACUAUAUAAAAAGACAUCUUUUAAUAAACCCUCAGAAUAAACUUUCUCCAAAGAAUACUUAAUACAAUAGUGUCUUUUUCACUCUACGAAGUUUCUAUCAUUAGAACAUACAAUACAAUAUUAAUAAGUUGAUGUUUCUAAAAAAAAAAAUGUUUGUUGUGAAUUAUUUAGAAGUGUAAAAGAAGAGGGGUCUACACUAGUUAUUAGUAUUCCAUAAAUGUUGUUUUUUUAAUUUUUAUAACACGAUAGAUCCUUCUCAUUUUUCCAUCCUUUAAAUAUAAUUUUUCUCCUUUACUGCAUAAUUUUCAUGGUGUCUUUUUCUCUCCUUCUUUCAUUAAAGUAUCGGUCAACUAAGAGAAAAUUUAUCUUACUUUCUCCUCAUGAUACACGGUUAGUCACUAUGAAAAUCAUUCAAGGUCGCCUAAGUCGUGUAAGUGUUCGGAAGAAAUCUAUACAUGGUCUAUUCGAUGACUUUAUUCAAGUCCUGGUUCUUAACUAAAAUGCAUAUAAUUGAGGUCAAAUUUUCUAAUAUGAUUGUUAAUUUCCCGCAGGCUAAAAGGUACUAUCUUCCUUUAUGUCAUUCGAGGUGUUGAAGUGUUCGUCAAAGAGUGGGUUUUUUUUGAAGUGUUCGUCAGUUUCCACGUUCGUUUCUUUAUGAUACGAGUUCGUCUUUCAAACUCUGUGGUGAUAUUGGUUCGUUUCUUUACGUCGUUCAUACGUUCGUAUGAAAGCACAACUCGGUCAUUGAUAACUUCUCUUUCGAGCCCUUCUAGAAUGGAACGUCAGGCCUCCACGAGCCUCCCUCCGGUCUAGCUACGUCACUUCUCUAGACCUAGUCCCUUCUGGUUUGUACACUACACUAAGGUCUAGCUACGGUCUAGUUUGGCCUCCUUUGUCAUUCGAACAGCUACGGUGUAGGUUGGCCUCCUUUAACGAAGAGCUACGCUCUAGCCCGGCCUCCUUUAUCAUUCGAACAGCUACGGUCUACACUAAGGUCAACUGCGCUUCUGCCGCUGGAGCGGAGCACUGGUGUUCCGACGUCGUCCCACGCUGGACCGCCACCUGCUCUAGAGCUGGCCCUAGGCACUCCUCCUCUCUGCUGCGGCUUCCGUCUUCCAACUUCUUCUCGUCGGACUUGCUUGUGGCUUGCCGUCGAGAGGCGGAGGUCAAGCGCUGCGACUUCUUCAACUGUCGUCUCGUCUAGCUCGAGACGUUUCGUUCUUAGGCCUAGUCUAGGUGUUCUUUACCUGCGGCUUUUCCUCUUCCUUUUCUUCUCGUAUC
rnacentral:rRNA from 1 species